GAUGAACGCUGGCGGCGUGCCUAAUACAUGCAAGUCGAGCGAACAGAUGAGGAGCUUGCUCCUCUGACGUUAGCGGCGGACGGGUGAGUAACACGUGGAUAACCUACCUAUAAGACUGGGAUAACUUCGGGAAACCGGAGCUAAUACCGGAUAAUAUAUUGAACCGCAUGGUUCAAUAGUGAAAGACGGUUUUGAUGUCACUUAUAGAUGGAUCCGCGCCGAAUUAGCUAGUUGGUAAGGUAACGGCUUACCAAGGCAACGAUGCGUAGCCGACCUGAGAGGGUGAUCGGCCACACUGGAACUGAGACACGGUCCAGACUCCUACGGGAGGCAGCAGUAGGGAAUCUUCCGCAAUGGGCGAAAGCCUGACGGAGCAACGCCGCGUGAGUGAUGAAGGUCUUCGGAUCGUAAAACUCUGUUAUUAGGGAAGAACAAAUGUGUAAGUAACUAUGCACGUCUUGACGGUACCUAAUCAGAAAGCCACGGCUAACUACGUG
rnacentral:rRNA from 1 species